UACGGAGGGUGCAAGCGUUAUCCGGAUUCACUGGGUUUAAAGGGUGCGUAGGUGGGUUGGUAAGUCAGUGGUGAAAUCUCCAGGCUUAACUUGGAAACUGCCAUUGAUACUAUCAAUCUUGAAUACCGUGGAGGUCAGCGGAAUAUGUCAUGUAGCGGUGAAAUGCUUAGAUAUGACAUAGAACACCAAUUGCGAAGGCAGCUGGCUACUCGGAUAUUGACACUGAGGCACGAAAGCGUGGGGAUCAAACAGG
rnacentral:rRNA from 1 species